GUCCGCGUAGAUUAGUGGUUAGAUCACCACGUUGUGGCUUCGUCUGCAAUCCCGUGGUAACCCAGGCUCGAAUCCUGGCGCGGACA